AUCACUGCUCAUGGAAUGAGGUACCUAUUCGAGUUGGAACUCCUCAGUUCCCAUCUCUAUGCUACAUGGUGGCAGGUGUAGCGCAGUGGGAUGCUUGGAUGUGGAAUAAGCCUGCACUUCCAACUUCUCCAUAUGGCCCUUCUGGAGGGGGAUGAUUAAGAUGAAUGAGCCCCUCUGUGUUCCCUUUCCCCUUCUGUGGCUUUCUGCAGUUGACGACAAGGCCCAAAGGG
rnacentral:lncRNA from 1 species